UAGCUCAGUUGGUAGAGUGCUUGCCUCAAAUAUAAAAGACUCUGGGUUCAAUCCCCAG
rnacentral:tRNA from 1 species